GUUUCUUCUUCUUAGCCGCGUCACCUCACCGUGUACGAGGGUGAACUCCACAUGAACGUCUCCUUGAGUAAGCAGCAGAACCCACAUGGCUGUUUCAAUUUUCAUAUUCUAUUUUUGUGUGUGCUGAUGUUGACUUCUCUUCUCCAUUGUUGACGAGCUACCCACGAAUGGAUUUGAUCUGCACGCAUGGCUAUGUAGCACCGACUACCAUCCACCACGGCUAUGGAUCAUGUGAUGUGGGGCCUAGACACGCUGAUUGCAGAAGCCAAUUUCGCCAUGGUCAUCACCAGCCGUUCAUCCCUCAACACCAAGCGGCUGGACCGAGAAUACUGCCAACCUUUUUGACUGUUUACAGGAGAGAGGUACUCCCUGCUGAAUGUAUGACUCUUGUGAGUUUGACUAUUAAGUAGUCAAAGAAGCAAGGAUGCCAGGAUGGAAUGUCAAGUUUAAAAGAAAUAAUGGCAGAGAUAUUAAAAUUCAAACCUGGCUUAUUUUGCUUAAUAUGGGUUCAGAAGGCAAUUGUCCCUGAGCUAAUGUCUAAACGUUACUGAAGUGCAGUCACGUGCAUUGGCUUUCUCAUGUGGGUUGGGCCUCAUACUUUUCUGUGAAAGCACUGCCAACUGCUGGUAUUUUUACAGUAGCCCCCAACUAAAUGGAGAAAAGUCCACUCGCAUUAGGAGUAAACUGUUCAUGCGUGGCU